rnacentral:rRNA from 1 species
UGCAAGUCGAGCGGCAGCACAGAGGAGCUUGCUCCUUGGGUGGCGAGUGGCGGACGGGUGAGGAAUAAUCGGAAUCUACUUUUUCGUGGGGGAUAACGUAGGGAAGCUUACACUAAUACCGCACACCACCUACGGGUGAAAGCACGGGACCUUCGGGCCUUGCGCGAUUGAAUGAGCCGAAGUCGGAUUAUCUAGUUGGCGGGGUAAAGGCCCACCACGGCGACUAUCCGUACCUGGUCUGAGAGGAUGAUCAGCCACACUGGAACUGAGACACGGUCCAGACUCCUACGGGAGGCGGCAAUGGGGAAUAUUGGACAAUGGGCGCAAGCCUGAUCCAGCCAUACCGCGUGGGUGAAGAAGGCCUUCGGGUUGUAAAGCCCUUUUGUUGGGAAAGAAAUCCAUCUGGCUAAUACCCGGUUGGGAUGACGGUACCCAAAGAAUAAGCACCGGCCAACUUCGUGCCACCAGCCGCGGUAAUACGAAGGGUGCAAGCGUUACUCGGAAUUACUGGGCGUAAAGCGUGCGUACGUGGUCGUUUAAAUCCGUUGUGAAAGCCCUGGGCUCAACCUGGGAACUGCAUUGUGAUACUGGGCGACUAUAGUGUGGUAAGGGUAACGGAAUUCCUGGUGUACAGUGAAAUGCGUACAGAUCAAGAAGGAGCGUCCAUGGCGAGGGCUCCUACCUGGAUCAGCCCUGACACUGAGGCACGAAAGCGUGGGGAGCAAGACAGGAUUAAUACCCUGCUAGUCGGCGCCCUACACAAUGCAAACUGAUGUUGGCUGCAGCUGGGGACGCCGCAUCCAAGCUAACGCGUUAGUUCCCC